UACGUAGGGUGCAAGCGUUGUCCGGAAUUAUUGGGCGUAAAGAGCUCGUAGGCGGUCUGUCGCGUCUGCUGUGAAAAUCCAGGGCUCAACCCUGGACCUGCAGUGGGUACGGGCAGACUAGAGUGCGGUAGGGGAGAUCGGAAUUCCUGGUGUAGCGGUGAAAUGCGCAGAUAUCAGGAGGAACACCAAUGGCGAAGGCAGCUCACUGGGACGGUAUUGACGCUGAGACGCGAAAGCGUGGGGAGCAAACAGG
rnacentral:rRNA from 1 species